UGUUAAUAUGUGUUUCGAGCCAAAUAAAUGACAGGGAGGGAGAGAGAGAGAGAGAGAGAGAGUGACGUUAGGACACGUCGUACUAUGGCAACCUCCCGAAAGGGGGGGGUCAAUCAUUGGGAUGCGCAUGCGCAGACAGAUAGCGCGACCGGCGGGCCUUGAACUUUAAGAGAAGAAAAACUUUCUCACGGACGGUGACAGCGAAACGGAUAACAGUCUUGAGUACCUGCUGGUCUUUGAAGCUCUGGAUUCUGGGACUGUUGGAAAAGCUCCAACAAAAUGAGGAAGAGGAGGGGGAGAAAAACAAUUAGAUUGAAUUACAAUUGGAUGGAAGUCGAGGACAAUGAGGAGGAAGCCUAGGAUGAGGAGGAACAAAAGCAGCAGGAGCAUCUUUAGGGAUCUCUAUGAUGUCAUUGAGGUGAGGAAGUCUCUGUAUGAGACCUUUAACGGAAUAACGAUGACAAACACAUUAGGAGUGCACAGGCAUCAAAAGAAAUCUGGACAAAAAUAUGUCUUGUCAUUUUGGACUCCACUGAGAAAACAGGAAAAAAACAGUCUACUUAAAGUACUCUUUAAUGAGCUAUCUGCAGAAAACAGGAAGCAAAUGAAGAAGAAAACAGACAACAUGAAAAUGCAACAAAAUUCACCAACUCAAGAG
ensembl:lncRNA